UACGAAGGGGGCUAGCGUUUGCUCGGAAUUACUGGGGCGUAAAGCGCACGUAGGCGGUCUUUUAAGUCGGGGGGUGAAAUCCUGGAGCUCAACUCCAGAACUGCCUUCGAUACUGGAAGACUUGAGUCCGGGAGAGGUGAGUGGAACUGCGAGUGUAGAGGUGAAAUUCGUAGAUAUUCGCAAGAACACCAGUGGCGAAGGCGGCUCACUGGCCCGGUACUGACGCUGAGGUGCGAAAGCGUGGGGAGCAAACAGG
rnacentral:rRNA from 1 species